GAUGAACGCUAGCGGCAGGCCUAAUACAUGCAAGUCGAGGGGUAGAGCUAGCUUGCUAGCUUGAGACCGGCGCACGGGUGCGUAACGCGUAUGCAAUCUGCCUUACACUAAGGGAUAGCCCAGAGAAAUUUGGAUUAAUACCUUAUAGUAUAUUGAUGUGGCAUCACAUUAUUAUUAAAGAUUUAUUGGUGUAAGAUGAGCAUGCGUCCCAUUAGCUAGUUGGUAUGGUAACGGCAUACCAAGGCGAUGAUGGGUAGGGGUCCUGAGAGGGAGAUCCCCCACACUGGUACUGAGACACGGACCAGACUCCUACGGGAGGCAGCAGUGAGGAAUAUUGGUCAAUGGUCGCAAGACUGAACCAGCCAUGCCGCGUGCAGGAUGAAGCAUCUAUGGUGUGUAAACUGCUUUUGUACGGGAAGAAACACCUCUUCGUGAAGAGGCUUGACGGUACCGUGAGAAUAAGGAUCGGCUAACUCCGUGCCAGCCGCCGCGGUAA
rnacentral:rRNA from 1 species